rnacentral:rRNA from 1 species
GACGAACGCUGGCGGCGUGCUUAACACAUGCAAGUCGAACGGAAAGGCCCUGCUUUUGUGGGGUGCUCGAGUGGCGAACGGGUGAGUAACACGUGAGUAACCUGCCCUUGUCUUUGGGAUAACUUCAGGAAACUGGGGCUAAUACCGGAUAGGAGCUCCUGCUGCAUGGUGGGGGUUGGAAAGUUUCGGCGGUUGGGGAUGGACUCGCGGCUUAUCAGCUUGUUGGUGGGGUAGUGGCUUACCAAGUCUUUGACGGGUAGCCGGCCUGAGAGGGUGACCGGCCACAAGGGGACUGAGAUACGGCCCAGACGGCUACGGGAGGCAGCAGUGGGGAAUAUUGCACAGUGGGCGGAAGCCUGAUGCAGCAACGCCGCGUGCGGGAAGACGGCCUUCGGGUUGUAAACCGCUUUCGCCUGUGACGAAGCGUGAGUGACGGUAAUGGGUAAAGAAGCACCGGCUAACUACGUG